GUAGGUGAACCUGCGGAGGGAUCAUUAACACGUUUUAAUACACGUAUUUCCAAACCAACCCGUGAACUGAACUGAACAUUAUCCCGACCUGGGAGUGAGAGAUCGUCUACUUUGCACGUAGUGAUGGGCGCGCAUGGGUCGCGCUGUGCAAUUAGGCUGGAAGGCUAUUGACCUUCGAGACCUCUCUCUUUCAGGCUUUAACUUAGGAUUCCCUCCAUCACUGGAAGCAAAAACACCAUUUUCACCCCUU
rnacentral:misc_RNA from 1 species